ensembl:snRNA U6 U6 spliceosomal RNA
AUACUCACUUCAGCAGCACAAAAACUAAAAAUUGGAAUGAUACAGAGAAGAUUAUCAUGGCCCCUGAGUAAGGAUGACAUGCAAAUUCAUGAAGCAUUCCAUAUUUUU